CAAUAGCGUAUAUUAAAGUUGUUGCGGUUAAAAAGCUCGUAGUUGGAUUUCUGCUGAGGAUGACCGGUCCGCCCUCCGGGUGAGUAUCUGGCUCAGCCUUGGCAUCUUCCUGAAGAACGUAACUGCACUUGACUGUGUGGUGCGGUAUUUAGGACAUUUACUUUGAGGAAAUUAGAGUGUUUCAAGCAAGCGCACGCCUUGAAUACAUUAGCAUGGAAUAAUAAGAUAGGACCUCGGUUCUAUUUUGUUGGUUUCUAGAGCUGAGGUAAUGAUUGAUAGGGAUAGUUGGGGGCAUUCGUAUUUAACUGUCAGAGGUGAAAUUCUUGGAUUUGUUAAAGACGGACUACUGUGAAAGCAUUUGCCAAGGAUGUUUUCAUUGA
rnacentral:rRNA from 1 species